rnacentral:rRNA from 1 species
AUUGAACGCUGGCGGCAGGCCUAACACAUGCAAGUCGAGCGGAGCGGCGGACGGGUGAGUAAUGCCUAGGAAUCUGCCUGGUAGUGGGGGAUAACGUCCGGAAACGGGAGCUAAUACCGCAUACUAUCAGAUUAGCCGUGUUCGGAUUCGCUAGUUGGUAAGGUACAGGCCUACCAAGGCGACGAUCCGUAACUGGUCUGAGAGGAUGGUCAGUCACACUGGAACGGAGACACGGUCCAGACUCCUACGGGAGGCAGCAGUGGGGAAUAUUGGACAAUGGGCGAAAGCCUGAUCCAGCCAUGCCGCGUGUGUGAAGAAGGUCUUCGGAUUGUAAAGCCCUUUAAGUUGGGAGGCGUUACCAACAGAAUAAGCACCGGCUAACUUCGUGCCAGCCGCCGCGGUAAUUC